rnacentral:rRNA from 1 species
UACAGAGGGUGCAAGCGUUGUUCGGAAUUAUUGGGCGUAAAGGGCGCGUAGGCGGUGCCACAAGUCACCUGUGAAAUCUCCGGGCUUAACUCGGAGCCUGCAGGCGAAACUGUGGUGCUGGAGUGUGGGAGAGGUGCGUGGAAUUCCCGGUGUAGCGGUGAAAUGCGUGAGAUAUCAGGAGGAACACCUGUGGCGAAAGCGGCUCACUGGACCAUAACUGACGCUGAUGCACGAAAGCUAGGGGAGCAAACAGG